GGGGAGGGUUAGAGAGGAGUGGGAGAAGUGGAGACGUUUUUGGGGGGAAAUAAAAUGAAAAAAAUCCGAAAUUUUUUUACUUAUAUAAAAAAUUCGGCCGCCAGGAAAUACUUAAGUUCGAGUUGACUAUGUUUGACUGUACGGGGGACCACGACGGCGCAAGUUGUAAUUUUUGGGUUUCCAAAAAAUCCUGUCGGCCAGGCCGCCGACUACUGGAAAAAACAAACGGAAAAAAGUAUCCAGCGGCCAAGCCGCCAACAAUUUUUCUCCCGACUGUUGAGGGUUUUAGGAUGCCGGCGGCCAGGCCGCCGGCUCACUUCUUCCCGACCGUUGGGGAAAUUGGAGCCUGGCCGCCGGCUCACUUCUCUCAUUUACGAGGGAAAAUUAUGCCGGCGGACAAGUGUAACAUUCCGGCGGCCUAGCCGUCGGGAGAUGGACGCCAGAACUGCGCUAGUUUUUUGUAGUGACACAAUAUAAAGUUUUAAAAUAUUCGAUGAAAAAUAUUUCAAUUCCUACAAAUCCCCAAAUCCUCUUGCAUUGGAAUUUUAGAGUUACAUACAUAUCAUAUGCCAAGACAUUUUUUCCAACUUGUUCUUUGAACACUUUGUCCAUCGUUCUUUGGAAGGUUGCUUCGAAUAGAAUAUAUAUAGGAACUUACUUAUUAUGACGUUACAAUUUCAAAUUGUGAACAUUAUUGAUCGAUAUUUUACAAAAUUCGAACAACAUUCUUCUAAACACAUAUAGAAAAAUAUUGAAUAAUAGACCUAUAUAUACCCGCCCUGUUGGAAGGAUGUUCGCGGUAAGGAAUUUGUCCCGUUCGAGUUCUACAGACCCGGUCGUCCUGCCCCGACCAUAAAACGAGGAGGGUCUGGG
rnacentral:lncRNA from 1 species